AUUAAGAUCUUUCUAACAUAAUUAGUUCCUAAAGUGCCGGCUUCCAUCUCCUUUUUUACAAACACCGGAGGAACAGUUGGUUCAUCAAAGACGGCCUUCUUGGCUAUUACAUUUACAUCUGCCACUCUGUUUUGUUCUCUACACAUAUGAAAUAGUCUUUUUAUUUCCAGCUUCUUUAUUAAAUAUAUGUACUCAACAAACAGAUUAUCAUAGAGCAAAUUGUUAUGAUUUAUUAUGCAUACUACUACUUCAAUUGAGUCGAUAUUGAUUUCAAGAGGUUUAAGCUUAUGUUUUAUUGCUAAUAAGAGCCCUCUUCUCAGUGCUUGGAGGUGGGGUUGGUGAGAAGGGUGAGUUUGGUGAAGCCUAGAACCUAGCCCCAUGUGGUUUCUAAAGACCGUCUGAUCCAGAUUAUUUGUUUGUCACAGAGCCAUAUAUAUUGAGCUUGAAGUUUCUCAUAUCAGGUGAUUCCCAUUUGACAUGAAUGGUUGUUUUAGGGUCUUUAGCUUCUGUAAUCUUAGUUUUCAACAGUGGCCUGAUCUGGGAGUAUGUUGGGUGGUAAUGGUCUUUUCUUUUUUUUAUUGUUGAAGGUGUUACUCUUUCUUGUGAGCCAAAUGCUCCUAAGACAAAAGGAAUGAGAGCACCCCAAUUCAGUCAAGUAUUGAAUGUUUGUCUAGUUAUCUUUAUUGAUGGCACUCAUAUCAAUGAUUCUAGGAUCUAAUCUACUGGUCACCAUAAUAUUCAGAAGGUUAAGGCAUUUGUGCAUUGGAAGAAGAUGUGAUCUAUGUCUUCUUUGUAGAAGUCACAAAGGUGGCAUUUCGGAGUAACAUUCAUACCCUUAUUGUGGAAGGAAUAGUUUGUUAGAAUUCUACAAUAGUAUAGGAGCCAUAUGAAUGUUUUAACCUUAUUAAUUAGGGGUCCUUAAUUGACCAGAUCCAACUGAAUCUUUUGUUGGUUUCUUAUUGAUGUUUUUGAAGGCUUUCAUUGAUGUUGCUGUUGGAUGAACCAAUUGAGAAUAGGCCAUUACUAGUUACAAGAAUGUUCUCUUUAUUCUCACCAGGUGGAAAGGAGUAGUUGGUAAUGAUGUUUUUGAGGUUUUAAAGGAGGGAGAAGUAGAGUUUUCCAAAGUCCCAUUCUUCAUUUUCAUGAAUGUCUCUUAUCUUAAGGUGUUCCUCCUCUCUCAAGAUGGGUCCUUGGAUACUCAGUCGAAUAGCAUUUGAGUGUGUCUCCAAUGAAGUUGACUUUAUCUCUCUUAUGAACUAUCCAUAGCAUCAACACAUUCUGCCCAUCCCUUUUGGAUGUUGUUCCAGGUUCUGGACACAGUUUUACUAGAUUUGUUGUUAGUAUUGGGCAUGUGGUACUUGUAAAUCAGUACUUUUCUCCAGAGCUUAUGGGAUUUCGAUAAUUCUCCAUGCAGGCUAGCUAGGAUGGCUCUAUUCUUGAUUUCACUCUUUUGGAGCCCUAGGACAACAUUCUCUUUCUUGCUAGUAAUGGGAGCCUGGUGUAUUGCAUCACAUCUUAGGGGAUACUGCUGAGUGUGGACUUUAGGAGCACAUUCCUACCAGUCAUGUUGAGGAAUAUGACUUUCCAUCCGGCAAGUCUUUCUCAUGUUAUCAAUCAAGAAUUGGAAGUUGAUAAGUUAGAGAUUUUAGACUCAAUUGAGGCUUUUAGUUCACCAAAUAGUGUCCUCAAUGCCUUUUAUGUCCAUUUCUGAUAUAAAUUUGUUGAAUUGCAGCUAUGAAGAAUAAAAGACAAGUCAAAGACAAAAGAAUUAAAAGAGAACCCAAAAACUUAAAAAAACAAAGAAAAAAGGCAAAGUUAUAGCUCGCCAAGUGCAAAGGGCGACUCGCCAAACAAGCUGUAGCUCGCUGAAAAUGUCAAAGCAGAUCGACAAGGAAAUUAUUCUAAUGACGACUCACCAACAAUGUUGGUGAGCCUUGGUGUCUUCGCCGAAUUCAUCUGAGAGUUCUGCUACAAAUAAAAGUCAAUUUAGCGAGUAGUUAUUGAAGUGGCAACUCACUAAAUAGUAAUGUAGAACUCAAUCGAGCUCACCAAAGGUGUUCAACACAUGAAGCCUUGAAGCGAAGCUGAAAGGCGAGAAGAAGUGAUAGUUGACGACUCAUCGAGUGAGUCAGUGAGCCCGACUAAUGUCGCCGAAGUGACCUAGAAGUGCAAUUUUUGUCAAACUUUGGGAAGGUAUAAAAGGUUUUGAAGAGAAAGAAAAUGUAUCUUCCAUUGCUCAAAACUCACAGUACUUAGAACAUUCUUGGGACUUUGGGUUUUUGACUUUUUUACCCUUAGAAUUUUGAUGGUUUUGAAUUGGGUGUCUUUGAAUUGAAGCUUGAAUCAUCUUCAUUGAAUGGACUACAACUUCUUUGGUAUAAUUCAAUUAAGUUCUAGCAUAUGUAGUUAAA